CUUUUUCAGCUUAUCAUAAGCUUGCUAGUAGUUAUCACCCGGAUGUGAACAAUUUUUUUAAUUUCUAUGCAGAGAACCCGGUGCAGAACAGAAAUUCAAGGAAAUAAGCAACGCAUAUGAGGUCUCGUCAGAGGAUGAAUAUUACAGCCUUGUCAUAAAUUUUAAGGAAGCAGUUUUUGGAGUUGAAAAAGAGAUCGAGGUAACACGCCUUGGGAGUUGUGGGACUUGUG